UACGAAGGGGGCUCGCGUUGCUCGGAAUCACUGGGCGUAAAGGGUGCGUAGGCGGGUCUUUAAGUCAGGGGUGAAAUCCUGGAGCUCAACUCCAGAACUGCCUUUGAUACUGAAGAUCUUGAGUUCGGGAGAGGUGAGUGGAACUGCGAGUGUAGAGGUGAAAUUCGUAGAUAUUCGCAAGAGCACCAGUGGCGAAGGCGGCUCACUGGCCCGAUACUGACGCUGAGGCACGAAAGCGUGGGGAGCAAACAGG
rnacentral:rRNA from 1 species